GGAGCCGGCCGAGCAGUCGCUGGGGGUAACCCCGGAGGAAAGUCCGGGCUCCAUUGGGCAGGGUGCCAGGUAACGCCUGGGGGGCGCGAGCCCACGGAAAGUGCCACAGAAAAUAUACCGCCUGGCCUUCGGGCUCGGUAAGGGUGAAAUGGUGCGGUAAGAGCGCACCGCGCAGCUGGCAACAGUCUGCGGCAGGGUAAACCCCACCUGGAGCAAGACCGAAUAGGGGAACGUUGAGUGUGCCCACACGAGUUCCCGGGUAGGUCGCUAGAGAUUCACGGUGACGUGCGUUGUAGAUGAAUGACUGCUCUCGACAGAACCCGGCUUACAGGCCGGCUCCCACC
rnacentral:RNase_P_RNA from 1 species